AUACAGAGGGUGCAAGCGUUAAUCGGAUUUACUGGGCGUAAAGCGUGCGUAGGUGGUUGGGUAAGUCAGAUGUGAAAGCCCCGGGCUUAACCUGGGAACUGCAUUUGAUACUGCCUAGCUAGAGUUUGGUAGAGGGAAGUGGAAUUCCAGGUGUAGCGGUGAAAUGCGUAGAUAUCUGGAGGAACACCAGUGGCGAAAGCGGCUUCCUGGACCGAAACUGACACUGAGGCACGAAAGCGUGGGGAGCAAACAGGAUUAGAUACCCCAGUAGUCC
rnacentral:rRNA from 1 species